GGUGAGUAACACGUGGGUGAUCUGCCCUGCACUUCGGGAUAAGCUUGGGAAACUGGGUCUAAUACCGGAUAGGAGCCAUCUUUAGUGUGGUGGUUGGAAAGUUUUUUCGGUGUAGGAUGAGCUCGCGGCCUAUCAGCUUGUUGGUGGGGUAAUGGCCUACCAAGGUGGCGACGGGUAGCCGGCCUGAGAGGGUGACCGGCCACAUUGGGACUGAGAUACGGCCCAG
rnacentral:rRNA from 1 species